AAGUUGUAAUAAGGUUUCCGUAAAUAAACCUGCAGAAGAAUCAUUAUUAAAGAUUGAGAAAUCAGUCUCAACCCACUUGGUGUCCAGGGUUCUAAACUCCGAACCAAUCAACCCUUUAUGAACCAAAAAACCUUUCGCUUCGGUAGCUGGGCCUGACCGCCUUGUUAGCCUGUUGCUAGUACCAACCUUUCAAACCUAUUAUCGAACAUUGUCUGAUGACUAAAAUUUUCGAAUGAAAAUCAAAACUUUCAACAACGGAUUUUUUGGUUCUU
rnacentral:misc_RNA from 1 species